UAACCUACGGGGGGCAGCAGUGGGGAAUAUUGCACAAUGGGGGAAACCCUGAUGCAGCGACGCCGCGUGAGUGAAGAAGUAUUUCGGUAUGUAAAGCUCUGUCAGCAGGGAAGAAAAUGACGGUACCUGACCAAGAAGCCCCGGCUAACUACGUGCCAGCAGCCGCGGUAAUACGUAGGGGGCAAGCGUUAUCCGGAUUUACUGGGUGUAAAGGGCGUGUAGGCGGGACUGCAAGUCAGAUGUGAAAAUUAUGGGCUCAACCCAUAACCUGCAUUUGAAACUGUAGUUCUUGAGUGAUGGAGAGG
rnacentral:rRNA from 1 species